UCACCGGUUAUUGCUAUGUCGACGGUAAGUUCUUCGACGCAAUACAGUAAUUACUCUCACAACGGAACCUACUUUCCGACGCCGUUUCAUCUCCAACAGUCCUACAUUAGCCCUUCUCCUUCGCCAGUGGCUAAUCCCGUUUAUAAUGCUACAACAGCUAUUCCAGGCGUUUACUCUUUGCCUCAGUAUCAACAAGCGCAGCAAUUAUUUCAAAAAGUUGCACAGACAAUCACGCCCGAGGCAAUUCAGAAUGUGAAAGCUGCGCUUGCACGCAGUGAGAUUGAGCAAAAAGCUGAGGCCAAAAAGAAAGCUGUGCCUCGAAAGGCAGCAGGACAGACUUGGGAAGAUCCUACUCUUGCAGACUGGCCAGAGAAUGAUUUUCGUAUAUUUUGUGGUAACCUUGGGAAUGAGGUGAAUGAUGAUGUUUUGUCGAAAGCAUUUUCAAGAUUUCCUUCCUUUAACAUGGCCAGGGUUGUGAGAGAAAAGCGGACUGGCAAGACCAAGGGAUUUGGAUUUGUAAGCUUUUCAAAUCCUUCAGACCUUGCCGUGGCACUUAAAGAAAUGAAUGGGUAUGGUUAGAUAUCUUUUGAAGAUCACCGAACUAGAAUGGUAUGUGAUGAUAACCCUCAAUUGCAUCUGGGAUUUUCUUUGUUAAGAUGCUUGAUGAUGCCUUAUACGGGUCUCUUUCGACCCCUUGUUUGAUGUCAUAAGGUUGAAAGAUUUACCCCGAUGGCAGUGUGUUAUCGGCAGACCCCUCUGGAUGACCCAGCACCACAACAACUAGGAGUGUGUUGUUGACGUUAAAUUAGGGAAAUAUGUUGGAAACAGGCCAGUUCAACUUCGGAAGAGUAAAUGGAAAGACAGGAUUGACUAUGAAGCUUUGGUGAAACAGAAGAAUGAGUCUUUGAAGAAAGCUAAGUCGCCAAAGAAGAGUGU